rnacentral:rRNA from 1 species
CCUACGGGAGGCAGCAGUGGGGAAUAUUGCACAAUGGAGGAAACCCUGAUGCAGCGACGCCGCGUGAGUGAAGAAGUAAUUCGUUAUGUAAAGCUCUAUCAGCAGGGAAGAAAAUGACGGUACCUGAGUAAGAAGCUCCGGCUAACUACGUGCCAGCAGCCGCGGUAAUACGUAGGUGGCAACCGUUAUCCGGAUUUACUGGGUGUAAAGGGAGCGUAGACGGCAGAGAAAGUCUGGAGUGAAAGGCGGGGGCGCAACCCCCGGAUUGCUCUGGAAACUGUACGGCGGGAGUGCAGGAGAGGUGAGUGGAAUUCCUGGUGUAGCGGUGAAAUGCUUAGAUAUUAGGAGGAACCCCAGUGGCGAAGGCGGCUUACUGGACUGUAACUGACGUUGAGGCUCGAAAGCGUGGGGAGCAAACAGGAUUAGAUACCCCAGUAGUC